rnacentral:ncRNA from 2 species
CUGUGCGUGUGACAGCGGCUGAU